GGAGGACCCGAGCGUUAUCCGGAUUUAUUGGGUUUAAAGGGUGCGUAGGCGGAUUGGUAAGUUAGAGGUGAAAGCUCAGCGCUUAACGUCGAAACUGCCUCUGAUACUGUCGGUCUAGAGUAUAGUUGCGGAAGGCGGAAUGUGUGGUGUAGCGGUGAAAUGCUUAGAUAUCACACAGAACACCGAUUGCGAAGGCAGCUUUCCAAGCUAUCACUGACGCUGAGGCACGAAAGCGUGGGGAGCGAACAGGAUUAGAUACCCUGGUAGUCACGCCGUAAACGAUGAUAACUCGUUGCAGGCGAUACACAGUCUGUGACUUAGCGAAAGCGUUAAGUU
rnacentral:rRNA from 1 species